UACGUAGGGUGCAAGCGUUAAUCGGAAUUACUGGGCGUAAAGCGUGCGCAGGCGGUUUUGUAAGUCUGUUGUGAAAGCCCCGGGCUCAACCUGGGAAUGGCAAUGGAUACUGGCAAGCUAGAGUGCGGUAGAGGGUAGUGGAAUUCCCGGUGUAGCGGUGAAAUGCGUAGAGAUCGGGAGGAACACCGGUGGCGAAGGCGGCCAGCUGGCGCUGACCUGACGCUGAGGCGCGAAGGCAUGGGGAGCGAACGGG
rnacentral:rRNA from 1 species